AUUUUGCUCUAGCCGUUUGGGGCUUACUGGGGAACGUAUCUCAGUCAUCAAGCCGAGACCAGCUGGCUGUUACAGCAAUGAAGUUUUUGACUACUGUUAGCACGAGUGUACACCACACUUUAUUUGCAGGCGAGGGAGUGAUACCUGAGAUUUGUAAGAGCAUAGUAAUACCCAAUGUAAGGCUGAGGGAUGAAGAUGAGGAACUAUUUGAAAUGAACUAUGUUGAAUUCAUUAGGAGGGACAUGGAAGGUAGCG
rnacentral:misc_RNA from 1 species